UACGUUCCAUAUGAAAGGUAUUCCCAUAGGGGGAAUUCCCACCCGAGUACGUUCCAUAUGAAAGGUAUUCCCAUAGGGGGAAUUCCCACCCGAGUACGUUCCAUAUGAAAGGUAUUCCCAUAGGGGGAAUUCCCACCCGAGUACGUUCCAUAUGAAAGGUAUUCCCAUAGGGGGAAUUCCCACCCGAGUACGUUCCAUAUGAAAGGUAUUCCCAUAGGGGGAAUUCCCACCCGAGUACGUUCCAUAUGAAAGGUAUUCCCAUAGGGGGAAUUCCCACCCGAGUACGUUCCAUAUGAAAGGUAUUCCCAUAGGGGGGAUUCCCACCCGAGUACGUUCCAUAUGAAAGGUAUUCCCACCCGAGUACGUUCCAUAUGAAAGGUAUUCCCACCCGAGUACGUUCCAUAUGAAAGGUAUUCCCAUAGGGGGGAUUCCCACCCGAGUACGUUCCAUAUG